rnacentral:rRNA from 1 species
GGAAUCUUGCGCAAUGGGCGAAAGCCUGACGCAGCAACGCCGCGUGAGUGAUGAAGGCCUUCGGGUCGUAAAGCUCUGUCAGAGGGGAAGAACACAAUGACGGUACCCUCAAAGGAAGCACCGGCUAACUCCGUGCCAGCAGCCGCGGUAAUACGGAGGGUGCAAACGUUGCUCGGAAUUAUUGGGCGUAAAGCGCGCGUAGGCGGCCGUAUAAGUCUGAUGUGAAAGCCCAGAGCUCAACUCUGGAAAGCCAUUGGAAACUGUACGGCUUGAGAACAGGAGGGGUAGGUGGAAUUCCUGGUGUAGGAGUGAAAUCCGUAGAGAUCAGGAGGAACACCGGUGGCGAAGGCGACCUACUGGACUGGAUCUGACGCUGAGGCGCGAAAGCGUGGGGAGCAAACAGGAUUAGAAACCCCAGUAGUCC